rnacentral:tRNA from 1 species
GCGGGCGUAGCUCAGGGGUAGAGCACGGCGUUUACACCGCCGGUGUCGGAGGUUCGAAACCUUCCGCCCGCACCA